rnacentral:rRNA from 1 species
UCGCUACUACCGAUUGAAUGAUUUAGUGAGUUUCACAGACCGAACAACUCGGGGGGGCUUCCUUCCUUGUUGUCUGGGAAGUGCUGCAAACUGAACCAUUUAGAGGAAGUAA